AACGUAGGUGGCGAGCGUUAUCCGGAUUUACUGGGCGUAAAGCGUGUGCAGGCGGGGUGACAAGGGGGGUAUGAAAUCUCCGGGCUAAACCUGGAGGGGUUAUGCCAGACUGUCAUUCUAGAGUGCGAGAGAGGGGCGUGGAAUUCCGGGUGUAGUGGUGAAAUGCGCAGAUAUCAGGAGGAACACCGGUGGCGAAGGCGGUUCUCUGGGCAUGACCUGACGCUGAGGAGCGAAAGUGUGGGGAGCGAACAGG
rnacentral:rRNA from 1 species